rnacentral:tRNA from 1 species
GGCCCGGUAGCUCAGUUGGUAGAUCAGCGGAUUGAAAAUCCGCGUGUCGAUGGUUCGAUUCCGUCCCAGGCCACCA